AUUGAACGCUGGCGGCAUGCUUUACACAUGCAAGUCGAACGGUAACAGGGUGCUUGCACCGCUGACGAGUGGCGAACGGGUGAGUAAUGCGUCGGAACGUGCCGAGUAGUGGGGGAUAACGCAGCGAAAGUUGUGCUAAUACCGCAUACGUACUGAGGUAGAAAGUGGGGGACCUUCGGGCCUCACGCUAUUCGAGCGGCCGACGUCUGAUUAGCUAGUAGGUGAGGUAAGAGCUCACCUAGGCGACGAUCAGUAGCGGGUCUGAGAGGAUGAUCCGCCACACUGGGACUGAGACACGGCCCAGACUCCUACGGGAGGCAGCAGUGGGGAAUUUUGGACAAUGGGCGCAAGCCUGAUCCAGCCAUGCCGCGUGUCUGAAGAAGGCCUUCGGGUUGUAAAGGACUUUUGUCAGGGAGGAAAUCCUAGUGGCUAAUAACUGCUGGGGAUGACAGUACCUGAAGAAUAAGCACCGGCUAACUACGUGCCAGCAGCCGCGGUAA
rnacentral:rRNA from 1 species